rnacentral:lncRNA from 1 species
AUAUGUGUGGGACCAGGAGUGCUGCUUGGAAGCUAAGGUAGCCCAGCAAAAGGAGUUGGAGUGGAAAAUAGGAAGAUCUGAGUGGCUGAAGUGCUACUUAAGAGAUGAUGAGAACCUUUGCCAGUGAGAUGGGAGAUUUCAACGCGCUCUGUCCUCCUUAGUUCUCUCUUCAAGAAGAAGGAUGCAGAUGUCUUUGGCAGGAAGAAAUCCAGUCUCUGUGACUAAGUGUUCAUAAUCAUUCAGUAUCUGGCAACAAGUAAGGGGUUCCUCUUAAUGGAAGCUUUAGAAAACAGAGACAGUCCUGGGACACUUUUGACAUCAAUUCCAAACUUCUGUUUUCUCUUUAUUGUUAAGGAAAAAUUAACACCAGAUCAGAAUUAGGCAGCAAAUGUACCGGCAGUG